UUCGAUCCAAGCUGUCUGUUUAUGUCGACGUGGAGCGAAGAAGACCCUUUGAUGAUUUUCUAUUUAGGCUGAUGGUGUGGACGAAUCCGGAUUGUUCGUCGCGAUUCAUUUCAUCCGUCCGAUCGCGUUUAAAGAGAGAAUGUAUCUGGAUCAUUCACGCGUGCGAGAUGAGGUCUAAACCGUCGGAUUGUCAAGCAUGCGGAUCACUCGAGUGGCUUCCCGUAUGGUGCCGAUGUCAACCUGCCUACCAUGCGGCGUGCUCUAGUUUGAUCGGGUUGCUGAUUGAGCUGUCCCACGUGACCAAAUUUAUUUUUUACGAUUUAACCCAUGUUUUUAAUGUUUCUUUCCAAAACACCC
rnacentral:lncRNA from 1 species